rnacentral:lncRNA from 1 species
CAAGAAGUCUAGCAGUAGUCGUUCCAUGAUGUAUGAAGCUCCCCUUGGCUACAGCAUUGAGGACGUUCGACCUGCCGGAGGCGAGAAGAAGUUCCAGUCUGCUGCUUACUCCAACGUAAGAAUCAAUAAUCAUUGUUAUACUCUUCAUUCUACUUUUGUUGUUUCUGAUUUGUUGCUAACAUUGUCUUUUUCUACUGCAGUGCGCGAAGAAGCCAUCCUGAUAUCCCUUCCGUGCUUCCCCGUCCUAGUAGUUUAGGAUUUCUUUUCUAACGCUUUGAUUCUGACCAAUCUCUCUGGCCUGCUGCUUCCUGAUAAUCGACCAGUUCUCGAGUCUUGCUCCCUGCACUCCUCCCUCCAUCUCCAGCAUCGUUUUCUCACUCACCCGCUCCAAUGGCUGUUCUUUCUGCUGCUGACGCUCACCCGGUCUCAGCGAUCGGGUUUGAGGGCUAUGAGAAGCGCCUUGAGAUCACCUUCUCUGAGGCGCCUGUCUUUGUCGACCCUCAUGGGCGUGGUUUGCGUGCCCUUUCCAGGGCCCAGAUUGAUUCUGUUUUGGAUCUUGCACGGUGCACCAUCGUGUCCGAGCUCUCCAACAAGGAUUUUGACUCCUAUGUCCUCUCUGAGUCGAGCCUGUUUAUCUAUCCUCUGAAGAUUGUCAUCAAAACAUGUGGGACUACCAAGCUCCUGCUCACCAUUCCAAGGAUUAUUGAGCUUGCUGAAGAGCUGUCUAUGCCGCUUGCUGCUGUGAAGUACUCCCGUGGGAUGUUCAUCUUCCCCGGUGCACAGCCAGCCCCCCACAGGAGCUUCUCUGAGGAGGUUGCUGCCCUUAACCGCUACUUUGGUGGCCUGAAGUCUGGUGGUAAUGCUUAUGUGAUUGGAGAUCCUGCAAGACCUGGACAGAAGUGGCACAUCUACUAUGCCACCGAGUACCCAGAGCAACCCAUGGUUAACCUUGAGAUGUGCAUGACUGGUCUGGACAAGAAGAAAGCUUCAGUCUUUUUCAAGACUUCUGCUGAUGGCCACACAACGUGUGCCAAAGAAAUGACCAAGCUCUCUGGUAUCUCUGAAAUUAUUCCUGAGAUGGAGAUCUGUGAUUUUGACUUUGAACCCUGCGGCUACUCCAUGAACGCUAUCCAUGGCUCUGCUUUCUCCACCAUUCAUGUGACGCCUGAGGAUGGUUUCAGCUAUGCCAGCUAUGAAGUUAUGGGCUUCGACGCCACUGCACUUGCCUACGGCGACCUCGUGAAGAGGGUCCUCAGGUGCUUUGGCCCUUCGGAGUUCUCUGUUGCUGUGACUAUCUUUGGUGGGCGUGGCCAAGCCGCGACAUGGGGCAUGAAGCUUGAUGCUGAGGUUUACGACUGCAACAACAUGGUAGAGCAGGAGCUGCCCGGUGGUGUGCUUAUCUACCAGAGCUUUUCUGUUACUGAAGAUGCUAUUGUUGGCUCGCCCAAAUCUGUUCUUCAUUGCUUCGAGGGUGAGAACCUGGAGAAUGCUGCUCCUGUGAAGGACGGCAAACUGGCUAAUCUUCUCUGCUGGGAGGAAGAGGAUGCCAUGGAGGAGAAGGACGGCGUGCUUGCUGAGUAAGACUGGGGAAGGUGUCGAUUUGCUGCUGAGUUAUUUUUUUUUCUAAAUGUUGCGAUUGUCGUUUGGUUAUUGUGUGAAGCAGCCAAGCCAGGCUAUUUAUUAUGAAAAUGAUCGAUUGUAAGCAUGGGUUCUGAUGUGCCACAUGCUAAUGAUCAAUCUGAAUAAGUAUACCGCUCUAGGUGGUCAGCUGCGUCUACCACAAUGAGCAUACGUAUGGAGAAAUGUCUGUCAAAGCAAUUUAUGA